rnacentral:rRNA from 1 species
UACGUAGGGUGCAAGCGUUAUCCGGAAUUAUUGGGCGUAAAGAGCUCGUAGGCGGUUUGUCGCGUCUGCUGUGAAAACUGGGGGCUCAACCCCCAGCCUGCAGUGGGUACGGGCAGACUGGAGUGUGGUAGGGGAGACUGGAAUUCCUGGUGUAGCGGUGGAAUGCGCAGAUAUCAGGAGGAACACCGAUGGCGAAGGCAGGUCUCUGGGCCACUACUGACGCUGAGAAGCGAAAGCAUGGGGAGCGAACAGG